rnacentral:lncRNA from 1 species
NNNNNNNNNNNNNNNNNNNNNNNNNNNNNNNNNNNNNNNNNNNNNNNNNNNNNNNNNNNNNNNGCACGCUGUGGGACACCAUCAGUGCACAACCCUCAGUGGUGCACGGUGUGGGACACAUGGAUGCACAACUCUCGGUGCACGGUGCUGCACGUCAUGUGGUGCACGACUGGUGGUGCACAGUGCAGGAAACUAUCAGUGCACAACCCUCAGUGCACAGUCCUCAGUGCACAACUCUUGGUGCACGACUGGCGUGCAUGUUGUGGGACACCAUCAGUGCACAACUCCUGGUGCACGGUGCUGUACAGCCCUCGGUGCACAAGUGCUGCACGCCCCUUGGUGCACGGGGUGGGACACCCUCGGUGCACGGUGCUGUACAACUCCUGGUGCACAACCCUCAGUGCACGGUGCUGCACAACCAUUGGUGCACGACUGCUGGUACACGACAUUGCACAACCCUUGGUGCAGGACCCUCAGGGCACAACCAUCAGUGCAGGGCCUUGCACGACCCUCAGUGCACGGCAUCACACAACCCCCCUGGUGCACAACCUCUGGUGCACAGCCCUUGGUGCACAACUGUCCGUGCAGGGCCUUGCACACCCCUCAGCACACAACCCUCAGUGCACAGCCUUGCACAAGCCCUGGAGCCUGACCCCUUGGUGCACAACUGUUGGUGCACGGCGUUGCACAACCCCUGGUGCACAACUGUCUGUGCAGGGCCUUGCACACCCCUCAGCACACAACCCUCGGUGCACAGCCUUGCACAAGCCCUGGUGCAGGACCCCUCGGUGCACUACUGUUGGUGCACGGCAUUGCACAACCCCUGGUGCACAUCCCCUGGUGCACAACUGUCCGUGCAGGGCCUUGCACAUCCCUCAGUGCACAACCCUCGGUGCACAGCCUUGCACGAGCCCUGGUGCAGGAUCCCUUGGUGCACGGCGUUGCACAACCCCUGGUGCACAGCCCUUGGUGCACAACUGUCUGUGCAGGCCCUUGCACACCCCUCAGCACACAACCCUCAGUGCACAGCCUUGCACAAGCCCUGGUGCAUGACCUCUCGGUGCAUGACUGUCUGUGCAGGGCCUUGCACACCCCUUGGUGCACCACCCUCGGUGCACAGCCUUGCACAAGCCCUGGUGCAGGACCCCUUGGUGCAUGACUGUUGGUGCACGGCAUUACACAACCCCUGGUGCACAGCCCUUGGUGCACAACCAUCUGUGCAGGGCCUUGCACAACCCUCGGUGCACAGCCUUGCACGAGCCCUGGUGCAGGACCCCUCGGUGCACGACUGUUGGUGCAUGGCGUUGCACAACCCCUGGAGCACAACUGUCUGUGCAGGGCCUUGCACACCCCUGGGCGCACAACCCUCGGUGCACAGCCUUGCACAAGCCCUGGUGCACAACCCUCAGGGCACAACCGUCCAUGCAGGGCCUUGCACAAGCCCUGGUGCAGGACCCCUCGGUGCACGACUGUUGGUGCACGGCCUUGCACAACCCCUGGUGCACAGUCCUUGGUGCACAACCCUCGGUGCACAGCCUUGCACGAGCCCUGGUGCAGGACCCCUCGGGUCACAACUGUCCGUGCAGGGCCUUGCACAAGCCCUGGUGCAGGACCCCUCGGUGCAUGACUGUUGGUGCACGGCCUUGCACAACCCCUGGUGCACAACCCUUGGUGCACAACUGCCCGUGCAGGGCCUUGCACAAGCCCUGGUGCACGACUGUCGGUGCACAGCCUUGCACGACCCCCUUUAUUCCCUGCUUUGAUGG